UNUGCUGUGAAAGGCUGGGGCUUAACCCUGGUUUUGCAGUGGGUACGGGCUAACUAGAGUGCAGUAGGGGAGACUGGAAUUCCUGGUGUAGCGGUGGAAUGCGCAGAUAUCAGGAGGAACACCGAUGGCGAAGGCAGGUCUCUGGGCUGUAACUGACGCUGAGAAGCGAAAGCAUGGGGAGCGAACAGGAUUAGAUACCCUGGUAGUCCAUGCCGUAAACGUUGGGCACUAGGUGUGGGGGACAUUCCACGUUUUCCGCGCCGUAGCUAACGCAUUAAGUGCCCCGCCUGGGGAGUACGGCCGCAAGGCUAAAACUCAAAGAAAUUGACGGGGGCCCGCACAAGCGGCGGAGCAUGCGGAUUAAUUCGAUGCAACGCGAAGAACCUUACCAAGGCUUGACAUAUACUGGACUGCGUCAGAGAUGGCGUUUCCCUUCGGGGCUGGUAUACAGGUGGUGCAUGGUUGUCGUCAGCUCGUGUCGUGAGAUGUUGGGUUAAGUCCCGCAACGAGCGCAACCCUCGUUCUAUGUUGCCAGCACGUGAUGGUGGGGACUCAUAGGAGACUGCCGGGGUCAACUCGGAGGAAGGUGGGGAUGACGUCAAAUCAUCAUGCCCCUUAUGUCUUGGGCUUCACGCAUGCUACAAUGGCCGGUACAGAGGGUUGCGAUACUGUGAGGUGGAGCUAAUCCCUAAAAGCCGGUCUCAGUUCGGAUUGGGGUCUGCAACUCGACCCCAUGAAGUCGGAGUCGCUAGUAAUCGCAGAUCAGCAACGCUGCGGUGAAUACGUUCCCGGGCCUUGUACACACCGCCCGUCAAGUCACGAAAGUUGGUAACACCCGAAGCCGGUGGCCUAACCCUGGUGGG
rnacentral:rRNA from 1 species